rnacentral:rRNA from 1 species
CCUACGGGAGGCAGCAGUGGGGAAUAUUGCGCAAUGGGCGAAAGCCUGACGCAGCGACGCCGCGUGAGGGAUGAAGGCCUUCGGGUUGUAAACCUCUUUCAGCAGGGACGAAGCGAAAGUGACGGUACCUGCAGAAGAAGCACCGGCCAACUACGUGCCAGCAGCCGCGGUAAUACGUAGGGUGCAAGCGUUGUCCGGAAUUAUUGGGCGUAAAGAGCUCGUAGGCGGCUUGUCGCGUCGGCUGUGAAAACUCAGGGCUCAACCCUGAGCCUGCAGUCGAUACGGGCAGGCUAGAGUCCGGCAGGGGAGACUGGAAUUCCUGGUGUAGCGGUGAAAUGCGCAGAUAUCAGGAGGAACACCGGUGGCGAAGGCGGGUCUCUGGGCCGGAACUGACGCUGAGGAGCGAAAGCGUGGGGAGCGAACAGGAUUAGAUACCCUGGUAGUCCACGCCGUAAACGUUGGGCGCUAGGUGUGGGGAACCUUCCACGUUCUCCGUGCCGCNGCUACGACAUAGCGCCCGCCGNGGAGACGCGCGAGACUAACUAAUAGAUGACGCGUGAGACGUGCGAGCGACGACGAGGGAGAG